rnacentral:rRNA from 1 species
GACGAACGCUGGCGGCGUGCCUAAUACAUGCAAGUCGAGCGGGCCUCCGGAGGUGCUUGCACCUCCGGAAGGCCAGCGGCGGACGGGUGAGUAACACGUGGGCAACCUGCCUUUGAGGCCGGGAUAACACCGGGAAACCGGUGCUAAUACCGGAUACGUCCUCUUUCGCGCCUGCGAGAGGGGAGAAAGACGGUCUUUAAGGCCGUCGCUCAAAGAGAGGCCCGCGGCGCAUUAGCUUGUUGGUGGGGUAAGGGCCUACCAAGGCGACGAUGCGUUGCCGACCUGAGAGGGGGAUCGGCCACACUGGGACUGAGACACGGCCCAGACUCCUGCGGGAGGCAGCAGUAGGGAAUCAUCCGCAAUGGGCGAAAGCCUGACGGUGCAACGCCGCGUGAGUGAGGAAGGUUUUCGGAUCGUAAAGCUCUGUUGUGAGGGAAGAACAGCUUCCGGAGGAAAUGCCGGAGGUUUGCCGGUACCUCACCAGAAAGCCCCGGCUAACUACGUGCCAGCCGCCGCCGUAA